AAAAACAACAAUAUUAAAAUUUAAUUUAUUUUUUUUACUAUAUAAUAUAUUUAGUGAUUGUGUAUAUACUGAAUUGUAAUUAUGUUAUAUAAAAAAGUAUCAUUUGAGUAGUUUACAGACCAUUUUGCUUCAAAGAUAUUUAUCUUAUAAAAUAUUAAUAUUUUUUUAAGCAUUCUCUGUGUGUCUGAUGUUUUGUUCACGCAACGUUAGAUAAAAAAGCAAUAAUGAGACUUGAAUUUGUCAUAUACAAGUUAUGUUGUAACGUGUUUUACAACUUUCUUGUUUAUAAAAAUUGCCAGAAAAGUUAUUGAGCAAUGUUAUAUUUCUAGUGGUUGUGGUUGGUGCUUUUGUAGUUCUCUUAGGAUUGUUCAUUGUUCUGAAAAUCAUUGUCUUAGGCGUUCAUUAGAAAUUCUAACUUUAAAGGGUUGCUUAUUUAGCAGCUGUGCUUAUUUGGCGGAAAAACUUACAAAUGGGAGUCAAGAACUAGAGAAAAAAAUUUGAUGUCAAUUAGCAUGUGGGAAACAUGCUUAUAUCACGCCAAUAUCAAUUUUAUUUAUAUUUUGUAUUAAAUAAGCUUUUGAUGAGAGGAAUGUAUAUUCGGCAGGGUUUGUUUAGCAGAGGGUUCUUGUUCAAUCAUAUACAGUAAGGUAACACCACUUAACCAUUUGGAUUUUCUUUCUUUCUUUAUAAAUUAACUAAAUUAACUAACAGUUUAACCUUGUUUUCAAUUUGUUUUAAGUUGUAUACUUCUUUUAAGAUGAAUAUAAUAAACUCAAGGUAUAAAAGUACUUUGCAAAACUGAGCAGUUUUGAUUGGUUGGUAACAAUGCCACUGUCAUAUUCAAAUAAGCUCAUGCUGGCUCCAAUGGUUAGGGUUGGUACAUUACCCAUGAGGCUGUUGGCAUUGCGAUAUGGUGCAGAUAUUGUGUAUGGUGAGGAAAUUAUUGAUCAUAAAAUGAUUCAUUGCACUCGAGUUCAAAACAAGCUGCUUGGCACUGUCGACUAUUUAGCAUCUGAUGGUACUGUAGUGUUUCGUACUUGUGAGGAGGAAAAAGAAAAAUUGAUAUUUCAAAUGGGAACUUGUGAUCCUGAACGAGGAUUAAAAGUUGCUAAAAUGCUAGAAAAAGAUGUAUCAGGUAUCGAUAUCAACAUGGGAUGUCCAAAAGAGUUUUCAAUCAAGGGUGGCAUGGGUGCUGCACUUCUCACUCAACCUGAAAAAAUAAAAAAGAUUUUGACUACUCUUGUCGCUGGUCUCGCUAUACCAGUCACAUGCAAGAUAAGAAUUUUGCCUGAGGUAGCAGCAACAUUAGAAUUGGUGAAGGCAAUCGAGACAACUGGAGUGAAAGCUCUCGGUGUCCAUGGACGGUGGAAAGAAGAACGCUCUACAUCUCCUUGUCAUUGCGAUUAUAUAAAAAAGAUUUCAGAAGUCAUCAGCAUACCACUCAUCGCGAAUGGAGGGUCGAAUAUUAUCAACACCUACGAAGAUAUUGAGAAGUUCAAGGAGAAAACUAAGUGUAAUUCAGUAAUGCUUGCACGUGCAGCGAUGUGGAACCCAUCAAUUUUUAGGAAAGAAGGUCUACUUCCUGUGCAAGAUGUAGCUAAAGAAUAUGUCAAACUAGCAAUCGACUACGAUAGUUAUCCCACUAAUUUGAAAUAUGUGUUGUGUAAAAUGCUCGGUGAUACUACGCGUGAUGAGAUUGGUCGCAAAGUGCAAUCCGCGCGUGAUUUUCAAGACAUUAGUGCAGCAUAUGGACUUGAAGAGUAUCGACAAAAAGUUGUAACUGAAAGAAAUAUUUUAAAACUAAAGCUACUGCAAGAAGAUGAUGGCCAACCUGACGCUAAACGACAGAAAUUAGAUGAUAAAAUUGCAUUGGAUGUCGCGUUUAACCGAAAGUUAUAUCCGAAAACCAUGAGUCCAGUGCAACUGUUGUAUGAACACUGUCGGAGAAAGAGCAUAAAACAGCCAGUUUUCAACACGGUGAUGAAUGUUGACAAGCUGUUUAAAUCUGAAGUACUCGUUGAUGGUCGAAUCUAUACUCCUCUACUAUGAGCCAAUUUGAAGAAUUUUCUUGCUGAUUUGUUUUGCAAACGAACGAAGUCCUUUUUGCUGGUCUGCCCAAAGUGAAAUAAAGUGUACCCCUUUUGAAAGACGUAAAAAAUCUGCUGAACAAGCAGCUGCGAUUGUUUACUUGCAAUACCAUAAUAUUCACGAUGGGCGAGUCAAAAGCUGAUUGAACAAUCGAGUCUACAAAAGGUGAAUUGUGUUAGAGUUUCAACCUUUCCUGUAUUCUACUUUUUGAGAAGCAUGGAACGGGUUGAUGUUUACAACAUUUCAAGUUGAUACAGCCGUAGGAAAACUAGUGAAAAAGCCAUUACUGUUGCAAUAAAAGCCUUUUUUCUGGUUUACCGUCCUACGUCUUGGCUUGAAAAGGAGGUUUACGUACAGAAAAAUACAGAUUACAGUUUAUUUAUUUGAUAUGUGGUUUCUAUUUAAUAAUUAUAUUUAUAAACAUGUACUCAUUUAAGUAUCUUGACUACCAUUAAUGCUCGAUGAAGCGCCCAUUUAAAGAUGGGUGAUUUUUUCGAGAGGGGCGGUAAAUAGAGAUGGGCGCUUAUAUAAAAAAUCUCAUUUUUGUGUUAUAUAAAAUCUUUCUUUUUAGGGAAGUAAGUGUCGCAAAAUGUAAUAAUAGAAAAUAUGUAUGACCAGUUAUAAUAUCUGUAAGCGUAGAUGUUCAUGUUCAAAUUUCUGCCAUGUCAAUAAAUUAAAACUGCUUAAACGAAAAGAUAUAAAUAUUCUGACAUGAAAUUUUAUGUGUUGAUGGUUUUAAGAAAAAAACUGUUUUUGAGUAAAAGGUCGUUUUUUUCUAAUGUCCAAAAUAUUUAAACAAGCGCGCCCUUUGGCUCGAGUAAAACCGCCCCUGGGCGCUUAUUCAAGAGUGGGCGCCUAAUCGAUCGUUUUUGGUAUGUCAUUUAUUUGAUACAAGUAAAAUUAAAAUAAUGCAGCUUGUCAGUUAUAUAGAAUACGAGAAAAGUCUUGUACGUCAGUUAUCAGCAAACAUAAUUUUAUAUUUUUAUUACGAAAUAUCAUCGAAAACCAAUGUCAUAUACAUAUAGGACAUAUGUAUUGGGCAGACCCUUAAAUGCUUUUUAGACUCCUUAUUGAAGAAAUAAUAUCUUCAAAAGCCAA